rnacentral:lncRNA from 1 species
ACGGAGGGAUGUCAGUGAAUGGCUUUUCCAUGGGUUGAAAAUCAGCUGCUCUGACGCGUGAAUUCAUCUGCUUGUUGGAUUGAAUAAGGCAGUCUUAUUGCCCUUUGAUCAUGUUGUGAACUGCCCUGUCAAAUAAGAGGAUUGUCUCAGCCUCUCAGGUCUCAAUGACUUGGAGCUAAUUUAAUAAUAUUUUUUUUUGGGUGUUUUCCAUGCUCAAUAAACUAUUUUUUCAAUUAAUAUUUGCUUGUUUUCAAAGAAUAUGAGAAGGUUAUAUGCGGUGGUGGAGACAAUACUCAACUCCUUCUGUAAACUGAGAAAAUUGGUUUCUUCUUGAUAGAUUCUUGUUGUCCCGUCUUCUGGUUAAUAAUGAUUGUAGUGGACUUAAAUACUAUGCAUCGAUGGUGGGAGGUGCCUGAAGUCCUGGUGCUGCUGAUUCCUGUUUGUUCUGGGCAAUUCAAUCGCAAUAUAAGAAGCCAUGCACCUUGGGAAAACAUAAC